AUUAAAGUAGCUUAAAUUAAAGCUUAUCGUUGAAAAUGAUAGAUUGAAAAUUACAUUUUCCAUUAAUA
rnacentral:tRNA from 1 species